UGCAAGUCGAACGAGAAAGUGGAGCAAUCCAUGAGUACAGUGGCGUACGGGUGAGUAACACGUGGGUAAUCUACCUUUUAGUGAGGAAUAACCGAGGGAAACUUUGGCUAAUACCGCAUAAGCCCUGAUCAUAAAGAGGAAGGGGAAAGCAGAAAUGCGCUGAAAGAGGAGCCCGCGGCCGAUUAGCUAGUUGGUGGGGUAAGAGCCUACCAAGGCAGAGAUCGGUAGCCGGCCUGAGAGGGCACACGGCCACACUGGCACUGAAACACGGGCCAGACUCCUACGGGAGGCAGCAGUGGGGAAUCUUGCACAAUGGGGGCAACCCUGAUGCAGCGACGCCGCGUGAGCGAUGAAGCCCUUCGGGGUGUAAAGCUCUUUCGUCAGGGAAGAUAGUGACGGUACCUGGAGAAGCAGCUGCGGCUAACUACGUGCCAGCAGCCGCGGUAAUACGUAGGCAGCAAGCGUUGUUCGGAGUUACUGGGCGUAAAGGGUGUGUAGGCGGUUCUUUAAGUUUGGUGUGAAAUCUCCCGGCUUAACCGGGAGGGUGCGCCGAAUACUGAGGGACUAGAGUACGGGAGAGGAAAGUGGAAUUCCUGGUGUAGCGGUGAAAUGCGUAGAUAUCAGGAGGAACACCGGUGGUGUAGACGGCUUUCUGGACCGUAACUGACGCUGAGACACGAAAGCGUGGGUAGCAAACAGGAUUAGAUACCCUGGUAGUCCACGCCCUAAACAAUGCAUAUUUGGUGUGGGCAGUUCAUUCUGUCCGUGCCGGAGCUAACGCGUUAAAUAUGCCGCCUGGGGAGUACAGUCGCAAGGCUGAAACUCAAAGGAAUUGACGGGGGCCCGCACAAGCGGUGGAGCAUGUGGUUCAAUUCGACGCAACGCGAAGAACCUUACCUGGGCUCGAACGGCUUCUCAACGCCG
rnacentral:rRNA from 1 species